GGGGCAAGUAACCCGGUUCAAUCAACCCCUCCCCACCUCGUACGGUUCCGCACGACUGAAAAAUUCCACGCACGAACAAAAUCGCCUGAAAAAGCCCACGUUCAUAACCAUCGCCUGAAAACGAUCCCACAUCCUCCACCCCUCUCCCAAACCCAAACUACCCCGGCGUCCUCCUCCCCCACCGCAGUGAAGGGUUCGUCGCCCCGUCCGCCCCUCCUCCAGAUGCAGUAGUCGUAGCUAGACCGGCGUCAUACAAUCCCACCCCCAGUAGCCGCCGGGGUGGGGCGCGAUCCCGCCGCCCCUGUAGCCGAACCAGCAAACGCAGCCCCUGCCGAAGAUGUGCGGGCCAGCCGCUGCCACCCAGUCGACCGCGCAUGGGCAGGCGUGUGGCGGCAGCCCCGGCACAGCAGCCUGGCCUGGAUAUCCCCAGUGAUGCCUCCUGUCCCCAAUUCUAGGAGAGACAGUGGAGCGCGGUGCUGCUGCGGACGAAGGAGAUUCUAGAUCGGCAGGUUGCGAGCAGAAGCCAUAUACACCAAAAAGAUGCUAUGACAAGUGCACCAGAAAGUUCUGUCGAUUGAUAUCCCCCCCUCUAUUCCUCUCUGGAUUUUGGUCUCUUGGUUUUUUUAAUCUAUUCUAGCUGGUGUUCUUACGGAAGGAAGACCAACGAGAGCAAAAAUAUGAUAGCCAGAAGCACGCUGGUGAGGAGCCCUUGUUUUUCGGUGCUAAUCCCUCAUGUUCAUCUUGAAUAAUACAGUUUUCUUGUCAUGUUUCUUUCAGCUGCCUUAAGAUAAUUGAUGUUGGUUAUUUUGUUCCAUGAACCUGCUCUUGAAUUGUAUAUAUUCUGCAGGAGUACUAUGGUUUUGCUAUCCACAAAGUAUUGUUAUUUUUCUAUACCUGAAGUCCUAAUCAGCUGCGUCACCUGAAUCAUAAGAAGUCUCGCACUAUCCUGUUUGUUUGCUUCUCAUGCCUAUCUGCACGCUAAAUAAUAAGUGCGGCAUCAAAGUAAUAGUAUGCACCUGUUCUUAUUCUUAUUUGUCAAUGGUCGUACUGGACAGAUCAGGGUUUUGUUGUUCAAACACAUCCCUUUUGUCAAAAAUAAGCUUGUUUGAACAUUACUCAGUAGCAGCAGGCUGCUAUGAGAUAUGUGCCAUAUGAAUUGUUGAAACUUGAUAGGUGUUGACAGUUUCCAAAUACUCUGCCAAUUGAACCUCGCACCCUUAUUCUGAAGAUUGUUCACACUCAGCAUCCCUGUUUCUACGUACAGUAGACUUUAUAUGCGUAUUUCACUGAAAACGGUUUAUAGGUAUCCUAAUCAUCGUGAUUGGCAUUGACAAAAUGAUGCCUCACUCAUUAUUGUUUAGUGGAGGACAUAUCCCAAUUUCAGGCUUAUUCUUAGUGUAGAUCAUUCCCUUAUUCAAGGGUUAAUCUCAUUUGUUUCUUGUGACAUGCAGACUGAAAUCAGUAGAGUUUUCCCCCUUUCCUACAUUCUCAGUCAUGCUUCCCUUUGCAAUAUAAUCAGUUCAUCCUUUACUUAGUGGUGCAACAUCAUGGGAUUUUACUUGGCCAAUAUUUUUCUCACCACCCGGCAUCGCUUGCCCUGCUCUUGCGUAUUGACUUCCAAAUUUUAUUGCCUUCAGUUUUCAACGGUAACAAGUUCGUGUUUUUCCGUCUGGACACAUCAACUUGCAAAGUUAAUGAGGUGAAGUCGGCUGCACAUUUGGCUAUGAAAGGAAAUUUUGAGGCAUGGAUUUAUUGGAUGGGAGAUUAAUUCUUUUGUGUUUACCUUAAUGUGUUUUUCUUGAUCGCUAAGAUAUGUCACACAAAGGGGAUUUGCAUUGCUUUGGAUGGAACAUUAGUAAUUGUCAUGUUAAAAUUAUGUAAGCUACUAACCCGUCCUGUUAUUUUAUUCUAGAAUCAAAAAAAUAUUUUUUUUCUGAACAUGCAAGCUGGAUAUUCCCAAAUCAUAGUCUUUUUUCUGACGCAUUUCCCGAGCACUGCUACUUUCUGUUUGGUAUAAAAAAAUUGGUUUGUUAGUCUUUAUAUUUUUUUAGAAAAGGAGGAUUACCCCCGGCCUCUGCAUCUGGACGAUGCAUGCAGCUAUUUUAUUAAUUAUUCACAAAGACCUUACAAAGUAGUACAUUAGGUAGUUUGAAGCCACCAUCUUAGCAACAACUGUCGCUACUCCUAUCCACCUGAUGAAGGCCGAUAGUCCGAGCCUAAUACCAAACAGACAUCGCACAAAUGCCUAACAUCUAAAGACGGAGGCCCCAACCAAGCCACAUACCGGGUUUGGGGCACAAACUAUUCCGACGCACUCUCUGUGUCGUCGCCGCCAUCUUCCACCAAUCCAUCUUUAGAACAGAAACUAAUGUAUCGACCUUGCCAGCCCUCUUCUGCCAUCAACACCACCAUGACGCCAAACAGAAUCCUCCUCCUGCGCGAGCCCAUCUCUGCGCAUCGGACUCCGAAUCUCCACAGCGCCACGCCGCCGAGAUCCGCCGCCAUCAAUGUAUAAGAUGAAGUAGCGCUCCACCAAAGAAGCUGUCCUCUGUUCCCCGAGCCCGUGUGUACCUCCAUGAAUGACGCCCCCAAGGGGGAAACGACACCAGAGUGCCGCCGUCAUCUGAUCAACUGAUCUAGGAUUUCCCCCGGAGGUAGCAGAGAGUGGCCUUGCACUUCUCCACGACGAUGCCUUCAAGAAGGGAACGACGCAGACAGCGAGAGAAACGCGAGAAAGAAGCCAUUACAAUCACUUGUUAUAUUGGGAAAACAUCAAAAGCUUGUGAUUUGUAUCCACGAAACAAAAUGAUUAUUUGGUCAAUGUAUUUUCUUAUGUCGUAGCAACGCACAUGUAUCUAGCUUUCUUAUUCAACAUGAACGAGAAGUUGACUUCCAGAUUUGACCUGGUUGAGGAGGAAAUGGUAAGAUGUUUUUUGACUUGGUUUUUCUCGAUUUCUUAGGAUUUUUUUUCCAUUUUCUUCACUUCGUGCAGGUUUAUGCCAUGUUAAAUGUUGAUUUUGUUGGGCAGCGCCAAACAAAAAAUGUUAACUAGCGCAAUGAACCAAAUAUCAAAUUUUUAUUUUGUUUUUCGUUAAAUGGGCACUAAAUAUCUUUGAAUUUAUGUUGCUACUGAUAACCAUUUCCCUAUGCGUUCAAUUUAGAACUCAGAUAUGGUGACAUGGAGCAUGCCUCUUUUGUGUUAAUUCCAAUCAUUUCGUUUCCAAUUAUAUGGUUGGCUUCACACCGAACCUUGUUUGUUGUUUCCCUUGUUUAUUUGUUUACUGGGACCCUAAGUUUCCCCAUCUAUAUAGUUAAUGGACAUACAAUGUUGUGUCCAGUUUACCAAUGUGCUUUCACUCCAUAUUCACUACUUGAUAAGAAUGGUCGCAUGUUGUGUGAUCAUCUGUUUUAUUACUAAUAUGGGUAGAACAAAACACUCGUAUUUUCAUGGUCUUUCUUUUUAGUCAAAAAAAUAAUAAACACUAUGGAAAGUGUAUUCUAAGCAUACAAAUUCUUGAAAGACUGCAUGCAUGUCAAAAGGCUACAUAUCAGGUGCUACAAUGCUUGGUGUGCUCCCACGGUCCAAGCUGUUGUCAGAUCUGAAUCCUAGGGGAAGAUGAAGUAGAUAGAAUAACCACAUAUGUCCUACUACAUAAAGCAUUUUCCUAUCUGUUUGAUAAGCUAUGUUGUGCUGCAUUACCACAUCUGAUAUGCAAGUCCAUUCUAAUAUACCCGAAGUCCCCUACCAUGGAGAAAUAUAUGCUGCUAAGAGCCUAAGAGAGGGAGUUGGUAGUUAUACUGUCUACUCAAAGACCAGUUUCAGGCUUCUUGCAAGUAUAUAUGCUAAAGCUCUUCAGCUUUUUUUGAGAUAAAAAGCCUAGCGUGCAUUUCUCCCUUAUGUUGAUUUCCUUAUUUUCCAAGAUAUGUUGCACAAGGCUAGGAGCCAACAUUCUUGUAACCGAUGGUGUACGGCCGUUUGCCAACAACAAUUCUAGAAUUUCCUAUCAAAACAUGAAUUUUUGAAUUAGCAGUAGCUUUGAAUGUUGAGCUGCCGAAUCAUAUGCUAUUGAGUUAUGCAUUUAUGCAGAAAAUUCAAGUACUCAAGGAGAAUGUUAAAUUAUUUCUUUAAUUUGAUAUUCUCAAUAAUAGACAAUAUCUGUUUUUACACGUUUCUUGCGGUCACAAAAGCGCUAUCUUCAUAUUGUGUUCAAAGAAUAAGGUGAGACAAACAUUGGCAUUGCACUACGUGUAAAUAAGAACAAAAAUUCAUGUCAUUAUCUCUCACGAUAUGUGAAGAUCAUUCCAUAGAUUUGCUAACAGUAAUAAAAGGUUUAAAGCGAUGGUAAGGUCAGAUGAUACACUUUAAUGCAACAACAAUACUAAAACUAGGACGGACAAAGAGAAUGAAGGUAGAUGGGAAGGAGGGGUAGGGAGGUAGAUGAUGCUUUUGUAAGCAAAGAAGCGGGGGAGAUAAUUGGCAUUUGUCGCUGGUAUAUUAAUGAAAACUACAUGAUGUCAUGCUUGACAUACAAUUCUGAAUUAGAACAAUUGGGUGAUACUCCCUUUGUAAAGAAAUAUAAGAGCGUUUAGAUCACUACUUUUAGUGAUCUAAACGCUCUUAUAUUUCUUUACGAAGGGAGUACAUGUGUUUUUGUUAUUCUAUUGCCAACACACUAGAAUAAUUAUAUGAUCCAUGUGUUUUUGUUAUUCCGUGGCAACGCACGGGCGUCAAACUAGUACAGGUAGUGGUGGUUGAGGCAAUCGGGAGUUCUGCGUACGCUCGACAGCUGGAUUACGGUGCGUACGUGAGACACGUAUACAUAUUUGUCUCCUCACGUGCCAACUAGUAUAUGGUACGGUACAGCUGGAGUAGGAAUACGGCAUAUAUGGAGUAUUUCUGCUGCAUUUACAUGAAAUGGAAACAGGGAGGCAUUCCACGUAGACACGUACAGGUACAGCGGCUGUUGACGCGUCUCGAUCGGACCCCAGCUGGCCAGACUCGCACAAACGAGAUCAGACCACUGUGAAACCAUGAACCAGCCUUUUUUUUGCGGGAGGUCAACCAGCCAAUUCCAAUUGUUAUACGAGUCGAUCACGGGUCCAGCAAGUCGCGAAGCGCUAAGGCGGCAGGAGGCGAUCGUCUAGGCGACCGCGUUUCUGCGCUAGGGUUAGGGUUUCGAAGCACUUGGGUGGUUGGAAUACGACGAGGGUCAGGAAGGCGGCGGCGUCUCCCUGGUCCAAGGCUGGUGUGCUUGCGUCUCUUUGCUCUGGAGAGGUUCUCAUGGCGGGAGAGGUAGGAGGAAAGGGUGCGGCUAAGGCAAACAGAUCUACACCGACCCCAUCCGUAGCGGCGGCGGCUACGCCACUGGCGAGGAAGGAUGGAGGAUCCGCUAGUAGGCAGACGAGCAAGUCCCCUGUGGAGAGCAAGACGCCGGAUCCGGCUGCAAGCCUUUCGGCGAGGUUAGGAGGCAUGGUGCUCAUGGACAAGGAAGAGGAAGGCUUUGUGUUUGAAGAUCCAAAUCCACAGGUCCGUAAAGAUUACCGUUGGUCUGCUGUGGGCAAGGUUUGUUCUCCCCAACCAAUGAAGAUGUCUGUAGUUGAGAAAACCAUGCCAAGAGCUUGGGGUCUGCACCGGGAAGCAAAGUUCGCUGAGAUUGGGCCUAAUAUCUUUGAAGUUCACUUUGGGUCAGAGGGGGAUUACAUGCAUGUCAUCCACAAUGGCCCGUGGCAAUUUGAUUUCAGUGUCCUGGUGAUGAAGAAGUAUGAAGGCGACAAGAGGCCGUCAGAGACGAUCUUUGAUAAAAUUGAUGUUUGGGUGAGGAUUUCGGACCUGCCGCCUAAUAAGAGGACCGAAGCUUUUGGUAGAGCCUUGGGGGAUUGGUUGGGAGAGAUAGUCAGGGUUGAUGUGGACAAGGAAGGCAUGGCUAGAGGACAGAAUUUCAGAGUUAGAACAAAGAUCUCGGUUUUUGAACCGCUAGUCAGAGGCAUCUUUUUGAAGAAGAAGAAGGACGAUAAGGAGAAGACAUGGUUUGAUUUCUAUUAUGAGAAGAUCCCGCACUUUUGUUUUGAUUGUGGGAGACUGGUUCAUAUUGGAGGAGAGUGUGAGCCUCCGGUGGACUCGACGCUGCAGUGGGGGGGCUGGCUGAGGGCGUCUCCGGGAAGAAAUAACUCUGGAAAGGAUGGAUCGGUGACAGGUGCGACCAACAGCAACAAUAGUUUUGGUGGCUCUCACACUGGUGAGGCUGCAAGGAACAACAGCGAGCACCCUAAAGUCCGAGACUUGCCCACUAAGAGGAACUUGCAACCAGACUUUUCUUGUACCUCAGAUGGGCGAACGGGGGAACACAGAGAACGCAACGGGGUAGAGGUAUCUAGCCCAAAGAAAGCAAGAAACAAAACUGAUACGCCUUGGGGCCGUGAUCUCCGAGAGAGUCUGGAAGCUCGACGAGAAAGCGAUCUUAGAACCAAACUGAUGGAGCAUCAAGAAGAAAAUCAGAAGGAAGGACGCAGGGAGACGGAGUGGGGACGAAGGAGCCAGGACAAAAGAAAUGGCCCGAGCAGGAUUAUUGAGCAAGGAAGCUCUAGCGGGUACCAUGCACAAGCGGGUCAGGUCGACCCACUGGGGGGGCCCGACAUGCAUGGGAACCGGGAAAGACGCAGGGGCUAUUACGUGAGGAAGGACAUGAGGGAUUCAAGAGAGGAUCACCGUUCGGGUCCGUAUGCAUGGAGAGAGGAUGGAAAUAGAAAGCGGAGGCCGAGGCAGGUGUGGGUAGCCAAAGGCAAUGCAGAGAGAUUGGGCAGCGAGGAUGAGUUCAUUCGCGAGAUGAGGCGUAAAACAGCCUCAGUGUUUGAUCGCAUCCAAGACAGAGAUGAUCAAGCGGCGGACCCUGUCGAACAGGGCCACCGGACGCAAUGAAUCUUCUGGCCUGGAACUGUCGAGGACUGGGGUUGGACUCGACAGUGGGCGAACUGAGGAUCUGAUACGGUCCUACAACCCAGCGGUGGUAUUUUUAUGUGAAACAAAGAAGAAAGCAAGGGCGAUGGAGAGAUUGAAAUGGAGUCUAGGGUUCAAAUGUGGCAUGGUUGUAGAUUGUCAAGGAAGGAGUGGAGGUUUAGCUUUGUGGUGGAGGGAGAGUGUGCAGGUUAACUUGCGGCCAUGGAGCCAAUAUUUUGUUGAUGCAGCAAUAACUUGGGAAGGUAAAACCUAUAGAUUCACUGGAUUCUAUGGGGAGCCAAGAACGGAGCUACGUAAGAAGUUGUGGGACGCAAUCCGGUAUUUGAGAGCUCAAGACAAUCUCCCAUGGAUUUGUGCAGGAGAUUUCAAUGAGGCUAUGUUCCAGACUGACCAACUUGGGGGAAACAAUGAGCUUCGCGCAGAUGGAAGACUUUAGAGAUUGCUUGGGCGACUGCGGUCUAGUGGAUCUUGGUUUUUCGGGAUACCCUUACACGUGGGAUAAUAAACGAGAUGGAGCUGAAAACGUUCAAGUCAGGCUGGACAGAGCAACAUGUAAUGAGAGUUUUGUUGAUCUCUUCCCUGAGACGACAGUUGAACAUGUGAUGACUGAGGAGUCCGAUCAUCAAGCGCUGCUGAUUCGGGCCAUGGAGACGGCUCUUACCCGUAGACCAGGGGGUGAUAGACCUUUUCGCUUUGAGGAGGCGUGGAGCAGGCAUGAGACUUAUGACGAUAUGGUGGCUGAAGCGUGGGCUGAAUCGAAUGUGGGAGCGCAAGGGGUGCAAGCAUGCAUGCAGAGAUUGGGCCGGGUAGCGAGCUCCAUGCAGCGUUGGGCCAGGGCGGUCUUUGGUUCAAUCCGACGUCAAAUUAAUAAGCUCAAGUCCCAGCUUGUUGCAGCCAAAACUAAGGCAACGGUGACGGGGUGUUCACUGGAAACCCAUGCCAUUGAGGAGAAGUUGAGAGAAAUCUAUGCGAGGGAGGAGUUGUUCUACCGUCAACAGUCUCGGGUGGACUGGCUUAAAGCCGGUGAUCAAAACACCAAAUAUUUCCAAAACAGAGCUACACAUAGAAAGAGGAAAAAUACCAUCAGGGCGCUUCGACGGGAGGAUGGAUCUCGAUGCACUGUGGACGAGGAUAUGAGGGAACUUGCUGCCUCCUUUUACAAGCGAAUGUUCAUGUCCGAUGGGUCGGUCGGUGCCAACAUGCUGUUACAAAAUAUAGUGCCACUGGUUACGGCGGAGAUGAAUCAAAGGCUGACGGCAGCCUUUUCUGAUGAAGAGAUUGAGAGAGCUUUAUUCCAAAUGGGCCCUACUAAGGCGCCCGGACCUGAUGGACUCCCAACUCUUUUCUACUAAAGAAACUGGUCUCUGGUUAGGGAGGAUGUGUGCAAGGCAGUGAAGGAUUUUCUGAACGGGGUGUCGGCACCUGAGGGUUUUAACGAUACGGUUAUUGUAAUGAUUCCGAAAAUCAACUCACUGGAGUUGCUUUCACAAUUCAGACCGAUCAGUUUAUGUAAUGUGCUCUAUAAAAUAGCUACAAAGGUGUUGGCAAACAGAUUAAAAGGCUCACUUCCUCUUUCGAUCUCGGAGGAACAAACUGCUUUUGUGUCGGGGAGGUUGAUCACAGAUAAUGUCAUUGUGGCGUACGAGUGUGUGCACGCCAUUAGGAACAGGAAGAGAAAGAAGCCACUGUGUGCGGUAAAGCUAGACAUGAUGAAGUCUUAUGAUAGAGUCGAAUGGAUUUUUCUGGAGCAGGUUUUGAAUCGAGUGGGUUUUGAUACUCAAUGGAUUGCUAUGAUUAUGUGAUGUGUAACAUCGGCGAGAUUCUCAAUAAGGCUUAAUUGAGGUUUAUCAAGGGGUUUUGUUCCCUCCCGUGGACUGAGACAAGGGGACCCGUUAUCGCCCUAUAUGUUCUUGUUCUGUGUGGAGGGGUUUUCGACGCUACUCAAAAGAGCACAAGAGGAGAAGAGAAUCAAAGGAGUGUCAUUUGGGAGCACUGGCCCCAAUGUUACUCACUUAUUGUUUGCUGAUGACAGUAUUGUGUUCCUGGAGGGAUCAAUCGAAAACAUGAUGGAGCCGAAGGAAAUCUUGAGGCAGUACGAGGAGGCGUCGGGUCAGCGCAUAAACUUACAAAAAUCUGCCAUCUUUUUUGGCAAAGGCACUCAGGAUGACAUGAAAGGCCAAUUACAAAACAUUCUGGGUAUUCAUAAUGAGGCACUUGGCGAACGUUACUUGGGUCUCCCCACACUGGUUGGGAGAUCAAAGGAUGGUACGUUUAAAUAUGUCACGGAGUGCUUGAAAGGGAAGGUUAACGGUCUCAAGGGUCAGGGUCUCUCAAAGGCGGCCCGGGAAGUACUUGUUAAGUCGGUACUCCAAGCUACACCAACCUACACUAUGAGUUGUUUCCACCUCACAAAGAAAAUGUGCCGGAACCUGACUUCUAUCUCGUCGAAAUUCUGGUGGGGGGUAACGAAUGGUGAUAGGAAGGUGCAUUGGAUCUCCUGGGAGAAGAUGUGUGAGGCAAAGCGGGAUGGGGGUCUAGGCUUUCGUUAUCCGGAAGCUUUCAACCAAGCCCAAUUGGCUAAACAGGCAUGGAGGAUUUUGCAAUACCCAACGUCGUUAUGUGCUCGAGUUCUUAAGGCCAGAUACUUCCCAGAUACCACGAUUAUGUCAGCCACAUGUCCCUCGGGUGGCUCCUUCACUUUUUGGAGUAUCCUCCAUGGGCGUGAUCUGUUGAGAGAAGGACUUGUUUGGAGGAUCGGUGACGGCACAAGUAUCAAUAUACACCAUGAUAACUGGAUCCCUAGAAGCGGCAACAUGAAGCCACUCGAAGCGCUUUUUGAGCAGGGAGUGACUAAGGUGGCAGAUCUGAUGGUAGCGUCGGGCGAUGCUUGGAACAAUCUCAGAAUCGAUGCAAUGUUCUCACCUGAUGAUGCGCAUGAUAUAAAACAGAUAACUAUUGGGGGGCCCUUGAUGGAAGACUGCUUAGCUUGGAACUAUACAAAGAAUGGCAUCUUUAUGGUGUGUUCUGCGUAUCAUCUAAGAAUGACUAUGAAUAAACUAAAAACCGGACGGCCGGAAUCAGCUAGUUCAGUUAACAAGCAUGCAGGGUACUUGGGCCUUUGGGAUACAAGCGCACCAGGCAAGACCAAGAUUCACAUGUGGAGAGUGAUUAGAAAUGGCUUAGCAGUGGGGGCGGAGCUCCUGCGACGGAGGAUAAAGCCAGGAGUUUUCUGUGCAGUGUGUGGACGUGAAGAAACUAUCAUGCAUAGAUUUUGGACUUGCCAACACUCAGUCCGGUUCUGGAACCAGCUGCGCUCAGAAAAGGGAGUAAUAGUGGCAGCCCCACCGGGUUUCAUUCACUCCCAGGGCGAGCUGGCAAAUUGGCUGCUAGGGUGGUUUGCGGAAGCUCAGGAAGAUGAGCGACAAAUGAUGAUCCAUGCAGUUUAUGGUCUAUGGCUGGCACGAAAUGAGACGAAGAAUGGCAAGAGGAUAGAUGAACCACAUGAAAUAAUAGAGAGGGUUUGUUCUUACAUGAGAGAAUGGAGGGAGGUUCACGAGAAGCCAGGUUGGGAGCCCAAAGCUGCGGUUCUGCAAAGAUGGACAGCGCCAGAGGAGGGGUGGAUCAAGGCCAAUACUGACGGCGCCAUAUCCAAGGAUGGUGGCAAGGGCGGAGGGGGCGUGGUGUUGCGGGAUCAUAAUGGAGCUUAUAUUGCAGGGGCUUGCCACUUCUUCCCUCAUGUGAUGGAGGCAGAGGUUGCGGAGAUCAAGGCGUGCAAGAGAGCCAUUUUGGUUGCUGCGGAGCUCAAUGUGCAGAGAAUUCAUUUGGAGCUGACAGCCAGGCCCUAGUGCAGAUGAUAAACACUCCGGAAAGGAUCUUGGCAGCGACAGGCUCUUGGGUGGAGGAGAUCAAGACUAUGCUUUGGUCUUUUGAUGCUUUUAGAGUUUCGUGGGUGAGGCGUUCUGCAAAUGUUGCCGCGCAUAAGUUAGCAAAGAUAGGUGUAGGCGAAGAACUAUGUAAGGUUUGGCUUGGAUCACCACCAGAUUGCAUUCUGGAAGUGAUCGCACGCGAGAUUCCAGACGUGUUUUAAGUUAAAUAAAAGCAGCGACAUUUACCCUAAAAAAAUUCCAAUUGUUAUACGUUUGCCAGAUUCGCAUAUGUGGCCCCUCUGUCAAAGUUUUUUUUGAGCUGUCAAAGUUUUCUUUUUAAGAAAAUGAUAAAAGGUCAUACGUAUAGAUUGUUUACAAUGAGGAGAAUAUCUAGUAGUAAAUGAUUUUUCUAACAAAGAGAACAUCAAUUCUUUUCAGCAAUGAUUUUGUUUUCCGAUCUAAGAUCAAUUUGCGUCGCCCGUCGUUGCUCAUUGAUCCUCGCAUGCCUCUACUCCGACACCGCGCAACAACCUGAUCUCUUCACGGACCAAGCGGCCUCGCGCGACAUGGCGGCCCAAUGGUCGUCGUCCGCACAUCCAUCGCUCACGUUGUUCUCCGCUGACCAUUGUCGCUUUGAUUGGAUAGGGAGUCUCCAUCAACCUCGCCACUACCCCGGAUUGGCUACAUCACGAUGGUCCAUACUUCACGCCGCUGGGUAGAACUUGCGCUCGCCUACUGUUAGGCACAUUGUGACCCACAGUUGUCUCGCAUCCUACACGUGUUGGCUGUUGUGCGUCGCCCGGCGCCGUGUUGCAUGCCUGCGUUCACCCGCCGUUCUUCGCCAGGUGUCAUCGCCUGGACCGAUCAGAUCGUGCGCCUGCUCAGUGCUCACCGGGCCCAGUCGCUGCUGCCUCCACUGUUGUGACUUCGACCUCAUCACCGAGUAGCGUCCCCGACCUCACGAGCGAUAGAAUUGAUCACCCGCCCUUCAGCGAUUAGUCCGAUCUGUGCCGCGCGACCGACCUGAUCAGUCGCUUGUGCGCGCCUCCGUAGGUCCCGUGAAGAUCGUCCCCUAGUCCAGCACGUCCGUCCACCAAUCAAGUAAAGGGUUGCCGCUAUGUCGCCCCGCCGGGCCGCACCGCCACCGUCCCGUGGUUCUCCACACGGUUGCCCCGACCCGCGCGCUGCCGCUGUGUCGCCCCAUCGGGCCGUGGCGCCGCGGCACACAGUCAAUGGCUCCGCCCUAAGGCCGUUCCCGUGGUUGCACCGACACGCGUGCUAUUGUUGUGUCGUCCCUUCGGGCCGUAGCAUCGUGCCGCGCAGUCCACGCUACCACCUUGUCGAAAUCUGAGGCCACUACAAGGUCGGCGGCAGCACGAAGAAGGACUCCUUGGUUGAACUCGCCUCGGCCAUCAUCGACCCUUACUAUGAAAAUAUGAAGCAGGAUGCCAAGAGAACACAUCCGAUAUCUUGGCACGGGGCCUGGAUGCAGCAAAUGGAUGAAGCUCACCUCAGGUUCGCAGCCAAGAACGUGUACACAUGCUACGAGAUGCACAGGCGGAUCGUUGACGUGAGGGAGUGCCUCCUUCCCAUAAUCGAUGAGCCUGGAUCGAGCCACCAGCAGAGCAGUGGCGACAAGUGUCACAAGAAGAAGUAGAUGAUGAUCAGAUGAUCAUUUAUCCUAGUUAAUUAUGCAUGUAAUAGUUUACAUGGGUGUGUGCAAAUGUCAUGCGUGUACUAGCCACAUAUGUAAUUGGAUGUUUAAUUUGGUUAUGCAAUCAUGUCCUUAUAAGUAUAUAUGUUGUUGUUCUGUAUGCAAUCACAUCCCACACGGACCAUACUAGGGAAACAAUCGGUGAUGAAUUCAUCUAUCGUUGACAAUUGUAUAUCAAGAAGCGUUUGCCCACAAUACACACAGCUUAUUAGCAGCAAUCGUCUGUGUUAUUAUCGGUGUUCGCACACAUUUCUGGUUACAAACCUGUUUGCCGCGUAUCACACACACACCUUGUUUGCACGAAACGUUUUUGUUCUCUUGGCUGAAUGCAAACAGUUCAUCCAAGUAAACUGUAUGCCCUCUAUCGCACACACCUUGAUCUGGCUGACCGUUUCUGUUGUGUUGCCUAAUCACAAACAGUUCAUCCUAGUGAACUGUAUGCCAUAUAUCGCACACACCUUCAUCUGGUUGCUCGUUUCUGUUGUUCUCGCUCGUCGCAAAUGGUUCAUGUUGGGGAACGUAGUAAUUUCAAAAAAAUUCCUACGCACACGCAAGAUCAUGGUGAUGCAUAGCAACGAGAGGGGAGAGUGUUGUCUACGUACCCUCAUAGACCGUAAGCGGAAGCGUUAUAACAACGCGGUUGAUGUAGUCGUACAUCUUCACGAUCGACCGAUCCUAGUACCGAAAGUACGGCACCUCCGCGAUCUGCACACGUUCGGCUCGGUGACGUCCCACGAACUCACGAUCCAGCAGAGUGUCGAGGGAGAGUUUCGUCAGCACGACGGCGUGAUGACGGUGAUGAUGAAGCUACCGGCGCAGGGCUUUGCCUAAGCACUGCAACGAUAUGACCGAGGUGGAUUAUGGUGGAGGGGGGCACCGCACACGGCUAAGAGAUCAAUGAUCAACUUGUGUGCCCUAGGGUGCCCCCUGCCCCCGUAUGUAAAGGAGCAAGGGGGGAGGCCGGCCGGCCCUUGGGGCGCGCCAACGAGGGGGAGGAGUCCUCCUCCUAGUAGGAGUAGGACUCCCCUUUUCCUAGUCCAACUAGGAGGAGGAAGGGGGAAGGAAGGAGAGGGAGAGGAGAAGGAAAGGGGGGGGGGGGCGCCCCCCUCCCUAGUCCAAUUCGGACUCCCUAUAGGGAGGGGGCGCGGCUGCCCCUUGUGGGCUGCCUCCCCUCUUCCCUAUGGCCCAUGUAGGCCCAAUAGUUCCCCCGGGGGUUCCGAUAACCCCCCGGCACUCCGAUAAUUAUCCGGUGACCCCUGGAACUCAUCCGGUGUCCGAAUAUAGUCAUCCAAUAUAUCAAUCUUUAUGUCUCGACCAUUUCGAGACUCCUCGUCAUGUCUGUGGUCACAUCCAGGACUCCGAACUAUCUUCGGUAAAUCAAAACACAUAAACUCAUAAUACCGAUCGUCACCGAACGUUAAGCGUGCGGCCCCUACGGGUUCGAGAACUAUGUAGACAUGACCGAGAAACGUCUCCGGUCAAUAACCAAUAGCGGAACCUGGAUGUUCAUAUUGGCUCCCACAUAUUCUACGAAGAUCUUUAUCGGUCAAACCGCAUAACAACAUACGUUGUUCCCUUUGUCAUCGGUAUGUUACUUGCCCGAGAUUCGAUCGUCGAUAUGUCAAUACCUAGUUCAAUCUCGUUACCGGCAAGUCUCUUUACUCGUUCUGUAAUGCAUCGUCCCGCAACUAACUCAUUAGUCACAUUGCUUGCAAGGCUUAUAGUGAUGUGCAUUAGCGAGAGGGCCCAGAGAUACCUCUCCGACAACCGGAGUGACAAAUCCUAAUCUCGAUCUAUGCCAACUCAACAAGUACCAUCGGAGACACCUGUAGAGCACCUUUAUAAUUACCCAGUUACGUUGUGACGUUUUGUAGCACACAAAGUGUUCCUCCGGUAUUCGGGAGUUGCAUAAUCUCAUAGUCAUAGGAACAUGUAUAAGUCAUGAAGAAAGCAAUAGCAACAUACUAAACGAUCAAAUUCUAAGCUGACGGAAUGGGUCAAGUCAAUCACAUGAUUCUCUAAUGAUGUGAUCCCGUUAAUCAAAUGACAACUCAUGUCUAUGGCUAGGAAACAUAACCAUCUUUGAUUCAACGAGCUAGCCAAGUAGAGGCAUACUAGUGACACUCUGUUUGUCUAUGUAUUCACACAUGUCCUAAGUUUCCGGUUAAUACAAUUCUAGCAUGAAUAAUAAACAUUUAUCAUGGAAUAAGGAAAUAAAUAAUAACUUUAUUAUUGUCUCUAGGGCGUAUUUCCUUCAGUCUCCCACUUGCACUAGAGUCAAUAAUCUAGUUCACAUCGCCAUGUGAUUUAACACCAAUAGUUCACAUCACCAUGUGAUUAACACCCAUAGUUCACAUCGCCAUGUGACCAACACUCAAAGGGUUUACUAGAGUCAGUAAUCUUAGUUCACAUCGCCAUGUGAUUAACACCCAAAGAGUACUAAGGUGUGAUCAUGUUUUGCUUGUGAAAGAAGUUUAGUCAACGGGUCUACCAUAUUCAGAUCCGUAUGUCUUUUGCAAAUUUCUAUGUCAACAAUGCUCUGCACGGAGCUACUCUAGCUAAUUGCUCCCACUUUCAAUAUGUAUCCAGAUUGAGACUUAGAGUCAUCUGAAUCAGUGUCAAAACUUGCGUCGACGUAACCCUUUACGAUGAACCUUUUGUCACCUCCAUAAUCGAGAAACAUAUCCUUAUUCCACUAAGGAUAAUUUUGACCGCUAUAUAGUAAUCUACUCCUAGAUCACUAUUGUACUCCCUUGCCAAACUCAGUGUAGGGUAUACAAUAGAUCUGGUACACAACAUGGCAUACUUUAUAGAACCUAUGGACGAGGCAUAGGGAAUGCCUUUCAUUCUCUUUCUAUCUUCUAUCGUGGUCGGGCUUUGAGUCUUACUCAAUUUCACACCUUGCAAUACAGGCAAGAACUCCUUCUUUGACUAUUCCAUUUUGAACUACUUCAAAAAAUUUGUCAAGGUAUGUACUCAUUGAAAAAACUUAUCAAGCGUCUUGAUAUAUCUCUAUAGAUCUUGAUGCUCAAUAUGUAAGCAGCUUCAUCAAGGUCUUUCUUUGAAAAACUCCUUUCAAACACUCCUUUUAUGCUUUCCAGAAAAUUGUACAUCAUUUCCGAUCAACAAUAUGUCGUUCACAUAUACUUAUCAGAAAGGUUCUAGUGCUCCCACUCACUUUCUUGUAAAUACAGGCUUCAUCGCAAGUCUAUAUAAAACUAGAUGCUUUGAUCAACUUAUCAGAGCGUAUAUUCCAACUCUGAGAUGCUUUGCACCAGUCCAUGGUUGGAUCGCUGGAGCUUUCACAUUUUGUUAGCACCUUUAGGAUCGACAAAACCUUCUGGUUGCAACAUAUACAACUCUUCUUUAAGAAAUCCAUUAAGGAAUGUAGUUUUGACAUCCAUUUGCCAGAUUUCAUAAAAUGGGGCAAUUUGCUAACAUGAUUCGGACAGACUUAAGCGUAGCUACGAGUGACAAAAUCUCAUCAUAGUCAACACCUUGAACUUGUCGAAAACCUUUCGCAACAAGUCAAGCUUUGUAGACAGUAACAUUACCAUCAGCGUCAGUCUUCUUCUUGAAGAUCCAUUUAUUAUCGAUGGCUUGCUGAUCAUCGGGCAAGUCAACCAAAGUCCACACUUUGUUCUCAUACAUGGAUCCCAUCUCAGAUUUCAUGGCCUCAAGCCAUUUCGCGGAAUCUGGGCUCAUCAUCGCUUCGUCAUAGUUCGUAGGUUCGUCAUGGUCAAGUAACAUGACCUCCAGAACAGGAUUACCGUACCACUCUGGUGCGGAUCUUACUUUGGUUGACCUACGAGGUUUGGUAGUAACUUGAUCUGAAGUUACGAUCAUCAUCAUUAGCUUCCUCACUAAUUGGUGUAGGAGUCACAGGAACAGAUUUCUGUGAUGAACUACUUUCCAAUAAGGGAGCAGGUAUAGUUACCUCAUCAAGUUCUACUUUCCUCCCACUCACUUCUUUCGAGAGAAACUCCUUCUCUAGAAAGGAUCCAUUCUUAGCAAUGAAUGUCUUGCCUUCGGAUCUGUGAUAGAAGGUGUACCAACAGUCUCCUUUGGGUAUCCUAUGAAGACACAUUUCUCCGAUUUGGGUUUGAGCUUAUCAGGUUGAAGCUUUUUCACAUAAACAUCGCAGCCCCAAACUUUAAGAAACGACAACUUAGGUUUCUUGCCAAACCACAGUUCAUAAGGUGUCGUCUUAACGGAUUUAGAUGGUGCCCUAUUUAACGUGAAUGCAGCCGUCUCUAAAGCAUAACCCCAAAACGAUAGCGGUAAAUCAGUAAGAGACAUCAUAGAUCACACCAUAUCUAGUAAAGUAUGAUUAUGACGUUCGGACACACCAUUACGCUGUGGUGUUCCGGGUGGCGUGAGUUGCGAAACUAUUCCGCAUUGUUUCUAAUGAAGACCAAACUCGUAACUCAAAUAUUCUCCCCUGCGAUCAGAUCGUAGAAACUUUAUUUUCAUGUUACGAUGAUUUUCCACUUCACUCUAAAAUUCUUUGAACUUUUCAAAUGUUUCAGACUUAUGUUUCAUCAAGUAGAUAUACCCAUAUCUGCUCAAAUCAUCUGUGAAGGUGAGAAAAUAACGAUACCCGCCGCGAGCCUCAACAUUCAUUGGACCACAUACAACAGUAUGUAUGAUUUCCAACAAAUCUGUUGCUCGCUCCAUUGUUCCGAAGAGCGGAGUUUUAGUUAUCUUGCCCAUGAGGCAUGGUUCGCAAGUACCAAGGGAUUCAUAAUCAAGUGAUUCCAAAUGUCCAUCAGAAUGGAGUUUCUUCAUGCACUUUAUACCAAUAUGAACCAAACGACAGUGCCACAAAUAAGUUGCACUAUCAUUAUCAACUUUGCAUCUUUUGGCUUCAAUAUUAUGAAUAUGUGUAUCACUACUAUCGAGAUUUAAUAAAAAUGGACCAUUCUUCAAGGGUGCAUGACCAUAAAAGAUAUUACUCAUAUAAAUAGAACAACCAUUUUUCUCUGAUUUAAAUGAAUAACCGUCUCGCAUCAAACAAGAUCCAGAUAUAAUGUUCAUGCUUAACGCUGGCACCAAAUAACAAUUAUUCAGGUUCAACACUAAUCCCGAAGGUAAAAGGAAUGUGCUAUGGUGAUCUUAUCAACAUUGGAAUCAUUUCCAACACACAUCGUCACCUUGCCCUUAACUAGUCUCUGUUUAUUUUGCAACUCCCGUUUCGAGUUACUACUCUUAGCAACUGAACUAGUAUCAAAUACCGAGGGGUUGCUAUAAACACUAGUAAAGUACACAUCAAUAACAUGUAUAUCAAAUAUACUUUUGUUCAUUUUACCAUCCUUCUUAUCCGCCAAGUAUCUAGGGGCAGUUCCACUUCCAGUGACCAUUUCCUUUGCAGUAGAAGCACUCAGUUUCAGGCUUGUAUUUGAUAACCCACAAGUAUAGGGGAUCGCAACAGUUUUCGAGGGUAGAGUAUUCAACCCAAAUUUAUUGAUUCGACACAAGGGGAGCCAAAGAAUAUUCUCAAGUAUUAGCAGCUGAGUUGUCAAUUCAACCACACCUGGAAAACUUAAUAUCUUCAGCAAAGUAUUUAGUAGCAAAGUAGUAUGGAAGUAACGGUAACGGUGGCAAGAGUAACAGUAGCAGUUUUGUAGUAAUUGUAACAGUGGUAACGAUAAAGUAACUAAGCAAAGAUCAAUAUGUGAAAAGCUCGUAGGCAUUGGAUCAGUGAUGGAGAAUUAUGUCGGAUGCGAUUCCUCAUGCAACAGUUAUAACAUAGGGUGACACAGAACUAGCUCUAGUUCAUCAAUGUAAUGUAGGCAUGUAUUUCGAAUAUAGUCAUACGUGCUUAUGGAAAAGAACUUGCAUGACAUCUUUUGUCCUACCCUCCCGUGGUAGCGGGGUCCUAUUGGAAACUAAGGGAUAUUAAGGCCUCCUUUUAAUAGAGUACCGGACCAAAGCAUUAACACUUAGUGAAUACAUGAACUCCUCAAACUACGUUCAUCACUGGGAGUGGUCCUGAUUAUUGUCACUUUGGGGUUGCCGAAUCAUAACACAUAGUAGGUGACUAUUGACUUGCAAGAUAGGAUCAAGAACUCACAUAUAUCAAUGAAAACAUAAUAGGUUCAGAUCUGAAUUCAUGGCACUCGGGCCCUAGUGACAAGCAUUAAGCAUAGCAAAGUCAUAGCAACAUCAAU
rnacentral:lncRNA from 1 species